rnacentral:rRNA from 1 species
GAUGAACGCUGGCGGCGUGCCUAAUACAUGCAAGUCGAGCGAACGGAUGAGAAGCUUGCUUCUCUGAUGUUAGCGGCGGACGGGUGAGUAACACGUGGAUAACCUACCUAUAAGACUGGGAUAACUUCGGGAAACCGGAGCUAAUACCGGAUAAUAUUUUGAACCGCAUGGUUCAAAAGUGAAAGACGGUCUUGCUGUCACUUAUAGAUGGAUCCGCGCUGCAUUAGCUAGUUGGUAAGGUAACGGCUUACCAAGGCAACGAUGCAUAGCCGACCUGAGAGGGUGAUCGGCCACACUGGAACUGAGACACGGUCCAGACUCCUACGGGAGGCAGCAGUAGGGAAUCUUCCGCAAUGGGCGAAAGCCUGACGGAGCAACGCCGCGUGAGUGAUGAAGGUCUUCGGAUCGUAAAACUCUGUUAUUAGGGAAGAACAUAUGUGUAAGUAACUGUGCACAUCUUGACGGUACCUAAUCAGAAAGCCACGGCUAACUACGUGCCAGCAGCCGCGGUAAUACGUAGGUGGCAAGCGUUAUCCGGAAUUAUUGGGCGUAAAGCGCGCGUAGGCGGUUUUUAAGUCUGAUGUGAAAGCCCCACGGUCAACCGUGGAGGGUCAUUGGAACACUGGAAACACUUGAGUGCAACAGAGGACAAGUGGAAUUCCAUGUGUCACCCGGUGAAAUGCGCAGAGAUAUGGAGGAACACCAAGUGGGCGAAAGGCGACUUUCUGGGUCUGUAACUGACGUUUGGAUGUGCCGAAAGCGUGGGGAUCAACCGGAUUUAAAUACCCUGGUAGUCCAAGCC